AAAAAUCCAAUGUUGUCAGUGGAACUCUGAGAAGACUGACUAUAUUCAGAUCUCCCUAGGCUUCUCUUACCUCAUUUUGCACCAGAUGGUUUACUGCCUCAGCUCCUGACAUAUAAGGUUUCCAGCUGUAGCAGUGCAUGAAGCUGAGCAGGGGCCACCUGGGUCAUCAGAAGAACAUUGCUGUGUUUCAGGACUGAAGACCAACAUGCAAGCUCCUGGGACUUCCCGAGGACUUCUAAGGGCAGGAAGAAGACCUGCCUUUCAUGUCCUUGAAGUUGUCACUCACAGCUAGGCAGUAUCUUUUGGAACUCAUCCAAGGGCAUCACAGGACUCUCAACUCAAAGCUGAGGUCAGCCAUAUCUCAGAGCCAGAACAGGAAGGAAACUUCAAAUUUCACCUGCACAGAUGCUCCAGACUUCUUUAUCUUCUUUAUCUCCAGGAUUCUUCUUGACAGUUACAAAAUUAAUACCCUUCUGCUACUUAAUGAUUCAUUAUGUAUGUGUAACCAGUAUCUGGAUUUCUGUAGAUUCUGAUGCUUUGAAAUAAAAUUUAAAAUAAAUAAAUACGAAGCAAACUUUUAAAAA
rnacentral:lncRNA from 1 species